rnacentral:rRNA from 1 species
AACGCGAAGAACCUUACCAGGUCUUGACAUACCAACGACAGUUUCUUAAUCGAAAUCUUCCUUCGGGACGUUGGAUACAGGUGGUGCAUGGUUGUCGUCAGCUCGUGUCGUGAGAUGUUGGGUUAAGUCCCGCAACGAGCGCAACCCCUGUUUUCAGUAGCCAGCACGUUAUGGUGGGCACUCUGGAGAGACUGCCCGGGACAACCGGGAGGAAGGCGGGGAUGACGUCAAAUCAUCAUGCCCCUUACGAUCUGGGCUACACACGUGCUACAAUGGCGGUGACAAAGAGAUGCGAAGCAGCGAUGCUGAGCCAACCUCAAAAAAGCCGUCUCAGUUCGGAUUGCAGGCUGCAACUCGCCUGCAUGAAGCUGGAAUCGCUAGUAAUCGCGAAUCAGAAUGUCGCGGUGAAUACGUUCCCGGGUCUUGUACACACCG